ACUAAUACAGAGUUAUUGUGUGAGUUUUGCUUCUGGUAUGAGAUUGGGAUUUUCUGUAAAAUAAUUUUAGGUCUAAGAUACGUAAUAAGUGAAUGAGAGAGAAGCUUAAUCUUUCACUGGAUGUGUUUGCAGUGGAUUUAUGGGAAAGAAGCAGCAUCAGUGUUGGCAGUCUCACCCGGCCCAGUGUGACGGUGCUGCCCCCCUCCAGUGUGGAGCUGCAGCAGGAGAAGGUCACACUCGUGUGUGUGGCCAACAAGGGCUUCCCCUCGGACUGGAGGCUGACCUGGAAGGUUAAUGGGAACAGCUGGACCUCGGGGGAGAGUCACAGUGCUGAUGUUCUGCACACAGACGGCCUCUACAGCUGGAGCAGCACGCUGAGCCUCCGCUCAGAGCAGUGCAGGAACAAGCUGGUGACCUGUGAGGCCUUCAAGGAGAACCAACCUACUGUGGUGAGCACAGUGAACAUAGAGCAGUGCGCAGAGCUGUGAGCUCACACACACUUUACUCAGCUCACCUUCUACUGCUUCACUUUAUGUUACAUCUGGCCUGUAAUGCU